CGUGAGUAUAAACGUUAUCAGUUGUGUGUCACUAUCAUCGAUGUUUGUUACUUUUUUGUACUUUUUUGUACGGAAUGGUAUCGUCGUUAUCACGGCUUCAGUCCUCGUAAUAACGAUUUACCAGUUUAUUUCAGAAAAUAAACUUACGAGUAUGACAAUAGUUUGAAAAUGUAGGAUACGAAUACAAUGGUUGUCGGCGAAUAAGCGACGGCGCUUUUACAACUUAUAAAUUAAAUAUGUGGUUAUUGCGCGUCGUUGGAAUUUGGCGGCGUUGAUGCGAAUUUGAUGACGUUGUCCGAAAAUUAAAGAAGAAGCUUGGGCGAUCGGCGUGUGUACCACGGACUGAGAUGUAAAUAUUUAUAUAUCUUAGUUAUAUAUAUAUAUAUAUCUUAGUUCCAUGGUGUCCAUGGUGUCCAGAGACGAUACUGAUACCGUGUUGUGGGACGCCAACCAUGGAUAAUAAAGAAUGGAUUUCGUUUUUACGUAAAAGUUUCAAUUUCACAAUUUUUUUUAUGCUUUAAUUUACCUAUAUUAUAACCUGUGAUUUUGUCGCACAAUAUGGUGGCCAAAAGAGGUCUACAUCUGAACAGUCUAUACAUUUUUUCGAUUUCCUCACACUAAAGAAAAAAUGGGUUGAAGCCAUAAAGCGAAAUAA